ensembl:snRNA U12 U12 minor spliceosomal RNA
CUGCCUUAAACUUAUGAGUAAGGAAAAUAAAGAUUUGGGGUGAUGCUCGAGUCCACACUGCUAAUGUGAGACGAAUUUUAGAGCAGGUUAAGGUUGCCCAUAAGGACACUCCCCUACUUUGUGGGAUGCCUGAGUGAAGCCAUCUGCCUG